GGACUAUUAGCUCUGUGGUAGAGUAGAGGACUGCAAAUCCUUUGGUCACAAGUUCUCCAAUUCAACUCCA